AUGGAUGCAAAAUUGGUGGAGGUAUGCAGGAAACUGUCCAACUACAUGAUGUACCUAUUGGUUGCCCAUCCUUCCAUGCUGCCCCUCACCAUCAGCGCGACACAAGUGCUCAUGAACUCUCAUUCGCCAGAGUCGCUAAGGACCGACCGUAACCGUUAUAGUGUCAGACGUCCAAUCAACAAGGGAACACUGGAGGAGAUGGUAUGCAUGUGGGCGAGGAUCCUUGCUUACGUUGCCGGCAAGUCAAAGGUGGAGUCGCAUGUGGCACAACUGAGCACAGGAGGGGAGCUCAUCACCUUUGCCUGGUUGUUGAUGAGCCAGUGUGAGCUCGGAGAUUGCCACCCUGGGAGGAUUCUAAUUACCAAUUUUGAUGCAGCUGUAACCGUGCACGAGCAGGAGCAGGUGAUCGGAAACCGCUCCUUCCAUGGGAAAUUUGAAGCUGAUGAUCUGCUAUAUGAAUGGUUUCAUCAUAUUUCUCCAUGCAUGAUUGGUCCCUGCGCGCGUCUAUCUGCUAUAUGA
rnacentral:rRNA from 1 species